ACCGACACAGGUGGGCGAGAUGAGUAUUCUAAGGCGCUUGAGAGAACUCGGGAGAAGGAACUCGGCAAAUUGGUACCGUAACUUCGGGAUAAGGUACGCCCUUGUAGUUUGACUCCCCUGCGGGAGAAGGACGAAAGGGUUGCAAUAAACUGGUGGCUGCGACUGUUUAAUAAAAACACAGCACUCUGCAAACACGAAAG
rnacentral:ncRNA from 1 species